CAUGAAGCUGGAAUCGCUAGUAAUCGCGGAUCAGAAUGCCGCGGUGAAUACGUUCCCGGGUCUUGUACACACCGCCCGUCACACCAUGGGAGUCGGAAAUGCCCGAAGUCUGUGACCUAACCGUAAGGAAGGAGCAGCCGAAGGCAGGUCGGAUGACUGGGGUGAAGUCGUAACAAGGUAUC
rnacentral:rRNA from 1 species